rnacentral:misc_RNA from 1 species
AAAUGGCAAUACUAGAAUAUCGAAGAUAUAUGACAAAUAUAAGUUGACUUGGGUAUUUCUCAGAAUAAUAAUUGCUAGGUAUAUUUUCUGAAGGUAAUUUUGCAGAAACAUCUGCAGAAACAUACAUAUAUGCAAAGUGUUUGUCCAGGAUAAAGAUACAAAGCGAAUGUGCCAGCUUGAAGAUAAGUUCCACCAAGGUCUUUCUUACGGUGCACAUAGCUUACACAACGGAUGCUUACUGCGCGAAUGCUUCCUGCUAUGAUUCCUACUUAUAAUUCAUGACGGUAAUCUGAACUUAGAUGACACAAGCGUCAAUUCAUACAGCGAGCCCAAUGAUGCAGAAUAUUAUUCCACGACGAAUAAGAUCAGAAAUUAUAUUAACAAAGAAUUGUCCAACUCUGCUGGAUCUGUACGACAGAAAACGAAUGUUAUAUUUCGAUAGAUGUUGUUAAUAAAAUAAAUAUUGAGGAAAUGAUACUCUACUACGCGAUACCAAAAAAAAAAUAAAUAAAAAUAUAAAGAACGACAAGAUGUACGUAUUUGACUCGGAAAUAUCAGGUACACGUUCAGAUAUUUUUUAUUUUUGAAUAACCGAUGUAGUUACCGAAUUUCCAGAUAAAUGUAACGUUCAAAAAAUUAUCCCAAUCAUGAUUAACAAUUAAAAAUAUCUUAUAGGUAAAUUCGCUAUAAUAAAAAAAAAGGGGAGAGACGUUCCUUUGCUGAAUUUAGCGAUUUAGGCACAUCAACCUUUCUUUGCAUCCUAUAUCUUCCAUCAUUUUGUUCUUUCAAUAG